AUUGAACGCUGGCGGAAUGCUUUACACAUGCAAGUCGAACGGCAGCACGGGGCAACCUGGUGGCGAGUGGCGAACGGGUGAGUAAUACAUCGGAACGUGCCCAAUCGUGGGGGAUAACGUAGCGAAAGUUACGCUAAUACCGCAUACGAUCUACGGAUGAAAGCGGGGGAUCGCAAGACCUCGCGCGAAUGGAGCGGCCGAUGUCAGAUUAGGUAGUUGGUGGGGUAAAGGCUCACCAAGCCAACGAUCUGUAGCUGGUCUGAGAGGACGACCAGCCACACUGGAACUGAGACACGGUCCAGACUCCUACGGGAGGCAGCAGUGGGGAAUUUUGGACAAUGGGCGCAAGCCUGAUCCAGCCAUUCCGCGUGCAGGAUGAAGGCCUCGGUUGUAGACUGCUUUUGUUACGGAACGAAACGGUACUGCCCUAAUACGGCGGGCUAAUGACGGUACCGUAAGAAUAAGCACCGGCUAACUACGUGCCAGCAGCCGCGGUAA
rnacentral:rRNA from 1 species